rnacentral:rRNA from 1 species
CCUACGGGAGGCAGCAGUGGGGGAUAUUGCACAAUGGGGGGAACCCUGAUGCAGCGACGCCGCGUGGGUGAAGAAGCGCCUCGGCGCGUAAAGCCCUGUCAGCAGGGAAGAAAAUGACGGUACCUGAAGAAGAAGCCCCGGCUAACUACGUGCCAGCAGCCGCGGUUAUACGUAGGGGGCCAGCGUUAUCCGGAUUUACUGGGUGUAAAGGGGGCGCAGACGGCGGGGCAAGCCAGGAGUUAAAGCCCGGGGCGCAACCCCGGGACUGCUCUUGGAACUGCGUGGCUGGAGUGCAGGAGAGGCAGGCGGAAUUCCUGGUGUAGCGGUGAAAUGCAUAGAUAUCAGGAGGAACACCGGUUGCGAAGGCGGCCUGCUGGCCUGCAACUGACGUUGAGGCCCGAAAGCGUGGGGAGCAAACAGGAUUAGAUACCCUUGUAGUC